rnacentral:rRNA from 1 species
UACGUAGGGUGCGAGCGUUAUCCGGAUUUAUUGGGUUUAAAGGGUGCGCAGGCGGGAGAUUAAGUCGGCGGUGAAAUUUUGCAGCUCAACUGUAAAAGUGCCUUCGAAACUGGUUUUCUUGAGUGUGGAUGAAGUAGGCGGAAUUUGUGGUGUAGCGGUGAAAUGCACAGAUAUCACGAGGAACUCCGAUUGCGAAGGCAGCUUACUAAACCAUAACUGACGCUCAGGCACGAAGGCGUGGGGAUCAAACAGGAUUAGAUACCCGCGUAGUCCCU